ACACGUGCUCCGGGGUCGGUGAAAGUCCGAGCCGGCGGUGACAGUCCGCGACCCGUGAGCCCCGCGAGGGGUGAGCGGUUGACCUGGUGGAACUCCAGGACCGACGGUGAAAGUCCGGAUGGGAGGAGACGCGU
rfam:Cellulomonas flavigena DSM 20109, complete genome.